rfam:Ictidomys tridecemlineatus contig017794, whole genome shotgun sequence.
GUGGCUGUGGCUCAGGGGUAGAGCACUGGCCUAGCACGGGUGAGGCCCUGGGUUCGAUUCUCAGCACCACA